rnacentral:rRNA from 1 species
ACGCUCGACACCUACUGGAGGCAGCAGUGGGGAAUAUUGCACAAUGGGGGGAACCCUGAUGCAGCGACGCCGCGUGAGGGAAGAAGGUUUUCGGAUUGUAAACCUCUGUCCUUGGUGACGAUAAUGACGGUAGCCAAGGAGGAAGCCACGGCUAACUACGUGCCAGCAGCCGCGGUAAUCUGAGGCGGGCUGGACAAGGC